UGGUAUGCACUGGCUUCGCUGAUUCCUCCUUUCUGAAGAACUGUAAUGCCAUUAAUUUGGUGUUGCAGGGAAACAGGACUGUUACUUUGAAAAAAUUAGAGUGUUUAAAGCAGGCUAACGCUUGAAUACAUUAGCAUGGAAUAAUGAAAUAGGACGUUCGAUCCUAUUUUGUUGGUUUCUAGGAUUGACGUAAUGAUUAAUAGGGAUAGUUGGGGGCAUUAGUAUUCAAUUGUCAGAGGUGAAAUUCUUGGAUUUAUUGAAGACUAACUACUGCGAAAGCAUUUGCCAAGGAUGUGUUCAUUAAUCAAGAACGAAAGUUAGGGGAUCGAAGACGAUCAGAUACCGUCGUAGUCUUAACCAUAAACUAUGCCGACUAGGGAUCGGAUGAUGUUAAUUUUUUAAUGACUCAUUCGGCGCCUUACG
rnacentral:rRNA from 1 species